CUGCACUUCAACAGAUAGCUCAACAGUUUUACGUUCCCCCUGCUGGAGCCCUCCAGUAACUACAACGCUCUUGUUCACACUUACUGCUGCUGGUGUUGGAAUGACAUUUUGCACAUGAAAAAUAAGAAAUCACAAACGUACUGUA